GGAUUCCCCCUAGUAACUGCGAGUGAAGCGGGAAAAGCUCAAAUUUAAAAUCUGGUAGUCUCUGGCUGCCCGAGUUGUAAUCUAGAGAAGUGUUAUCCGCGCAGGACCGUGCUACAAGUCUCCUGGAAUGGAGCGUCAUAGAGGGUGAGAAUCCCGUCUUUGACACGGACUACCUGGGCUUUGUGAUGCGCUCUCAAAGAGUCGAGUUGUUUGGGAAUGCAGCUCUAAAUGGGUGGUAAAUUCCAUCUAAAGCUAAAUAUUGGCGAGAGACCGAUAGCGAACAAGUACCGUGAGGGAAAGAUGAAAAGAACUUUGGAAAGAGAGUUAAACAGUACGUGAAAUUGUUGAAAGGGAAACGCUUGAAGUCAGUCGCGUUGACCAGGGAUCAACCUUGCUUUUCUGCUUGGUGUACUUUCUGGUUGAUGGGUCAGCAUCAAUUUUGACCAAUGGAAAAAGAUCAGGGGAAUGUGGCAUCUUUGGAUGUGUUAUAGCCUUUGGUUGCAUACAUUGGUUGGGAUUGAGGAACUCAGCAUGCCUGCAAAGGCCGGGUCUUUUGACCACGUUCAUGCUUAGGAUGCUGGCAUAAUGGCUUUAAUCGACCCGUCUUGAAACACGGACCAAGGAGUCUAACAUGCCUGCGAGUGUUUGGGUGGAAAACCCAAGCGCGCAAUGAAAGUGAAAGUUGGGAUCCCUGUCGUGGGGAGCACCGACGCCCGGACCAGACCUUCUGUGACGGUUCCGCGGUAGAGCAUGUAUGUUGGGACCCGAAAGAUGGUGAACUAUGCCUGAAUAGGGUGAAGCCAGAGGAAACUCUGGUGGAGGCUCGUAGCGAUUCUGA
rnacentral:rRNA from 1 species